rnacentral:rRNA from 1 species
GAUGAACGCUGGCGGCGUGCCUAAUACAUGCAAGUCGAGCGAACGGACGAGAAGCUUGCUUCUCUGAUGUUAGCGGCGGACGGGUGAGUAACACGUGGAUAACCUACCUAUAAGACUGGGAUAACUUCGGGAAACCGUAGCUAAUACCGGAUAAUAUUUUGAACCGCAUGGUUCAAAAGUUAAAGACGGUCUUGCUGUCACUUAUAGAUGGAUCCGCGCUGCAUUAGCUAGUUGGUAAGGUAACGGCGUACCAAGGCAACGAUGCAUAGCCGACCUGAGAGGGUGAUCGGCCACACUGGAACUGAGACACGGUCCAGACUCCUACGGGAGGCAGCAGUAGGGAAUAUUCCGCAAUGGGCGAAAGCCUGACGGAGCAAUGCCGCGUGAGUGAUGAAGGUCUUCGGAUCGUAAAACUCUGUUAUUAGGGAAGAACAUAUGUGUAAGUAACUGUGCACAUCUUGACGGUACCUAAUCAGAAAGCCACGGCUAACUACGUG